AGGAAUCGAGAGCUUCUUUCAACCUUUUCGACGCCUUUUUGUGGACAUUUUUCCCGUUUUUGACUCGUUUGUGUUUUUACAACAUUCGCCACUCAUUAUGUCGUCCUGAUAUCGUUUUUAAUCGACGCUGAAAAGUCUUUUUAACCACAAAUGUGCGGAUUUUCAACAAAACUCUGUAACUGCAACCAAAGCGACUCUCUGAUAUUAUUAAAGUGCAGACUGUGACCGCACCGACGCUGGGACGCCGAGAUUGACUCUGCGCUUUAAUUAACAGAGUGCGCCACUCAGGCCGUGCAGCCGGAGGAAAGAUUAACCUGCAGGUGUCUGUAAAAAAGACAAACAUAAACCCCACACUCACACAAGCUUGCUCUCCCACUCUCAGACCCAGUAAGUGUACACUUGACGAGUAUGGCUGGGUGGGGAUGAUGCAGGUUCAAUGACUUUGAUCGUGUAAUUCCUGUGUAAUCUCUGUAAUCUCUUAAAGCAGAUCUGUUUGAAUAUAUAUUGUAUGAGUGUGAAUGUAAAAGAGAUGAUGUGUGCAGUGUACAUUGAAUUACCAAGAUCAGGCAGAGGGUAAGACUUCUGCAAAAAAGAAAUCUUUAAGCAUGAAACGAUUCUGCCACCCGCUUUUUCAGGAUUUUUAUUUUUUUUACUCCAGUCCAGACAGAAAAAUACAGAUUCAAUGUUGUAUUUUUUACUUUUGUUACAGUGGUUCUGUGUGAAAUAAAAGGGCACAUUCAGAGUCAAACCUUCUUGCUACAAGUUCUCUUGUUUCAUCUGUGGAGAGAAUGUCCUCGGGAAGUGGACGGAUAUUUCAGAACCCGAGACAGAUAUAUGAAAUGUUAACAAGGAGUCAAAUGAAAGCCUUCAGGCACCAUUCUGACUAUUUUUCCUGUUGUAUUGUUGAGAAAUUUAACCUAAACUGUCUAUGUAAGUAAUCAAAUUUAAUGUGUGUCUUAUGUCUGAUAACCCUAUAAUAAAGUCUACAAUUA